rnacentral:rRNA from 1 species
GAUGAACGCUAGCGGCAGGCCUAACACAUGCAAGUCGAGGGGCAGCAUAAAAUAAACUUGUUUAUUUGGUGGCGACCGGCGCACGGGUGCGUAACGCGUAUGCAACCUACCUUAUACUGGGGAAUAGCCCGAAGAAAUUCGGAUUAAUGCCCCAUAGUACUGAGACCUCUCCUGGGGAUUCAGUGAAAGCUUUGGCGGUAUAAGAUGGGCAUGCGUCCAAUUAGCUAGAUGGUGAGGUAACGGCUCACCAUGGCGACGAUUGGUAGGGGGCCUGAGAGGGUGGGCCCCCACACGGGUACUGCGACACGGACCAGACUCCUACGGGAGGCAGCAGUGAGGAAUAUUGGUCAAUGGGCGCAAGCCUGAACCAGCCAUGCCGCGUGAAGGAUGAAGGUUCUAUGGAUUGUAAACUUCUUUUAUUUGGGAAUAAACCUCUUUACGUGUAGAGAGCUGAAGGUACCAAAUGAAUAAGCACCGGCUAACUCCGUGCCAGCCGCCGCGGUAACAC